rnacentral:rRNA from 1 species
UACAGAGGUCUCAAGCGUUGUUCGGAUUCAUUGGGCGUAAAGGGUGUGUAGGUGGCGCUGUAAGUCGGGUGUGAAAUCUCGGAGCUUAACUCCGAAACUGCAUUCGAUACUGCCGUGCUUGAGGACUGGAGAGGAGACUGGAAUUUACGGUGUAGCGGUGAAAUGCGUAGAUAUCGUAAGGAAGACCAGUGGCGAAGGCGGGGUCUCUGGACAGUUCCUGACGCUGAGGCACGAAGGCCAGGGGAGCAAACGGG